GGCCGGAGAUGUCAAUGCCUUGGUCCUUUCAUUCUUGGCUGCUACUUCCCGGCGGAUGUCUGAUGUUGCAAUGCUGGCUAAGCAGUAUAAUUUCUCCAGUGGUGUAGGAUGUAGACAUCCUGUGAUAAUGCGGCAUGUUUAAUUAAGAGCUUGAAAACAGGGACUUAUUCCAAGGCAAUUACUUCAAAGAACAUGGGCAAACAGGAAACUUUAAUUAUGAACAUAGGCAAAGACAGGAUACUUGAAUCAUGAACUUAAGAACCAAGACAGGAAAGCCUUCCUUAAGGCAACGUUGUCUCCUCUAAAGCCUACACUCCUUAAUUUAAGCCUGACCAAGACGCCAUGAGAUCAUGCUGAAGGCACCACAGAUUCUCUCAGAGCGUCUAAUUAGUCUAUGUUUCAUUCCCUCUUUUCUCAGGCCUAAUCUAACCUCUCUUGAGAACUCAUCAUCUGAUGAAGGUUGUUUUCCAGGAAACCCGGACUUUCACUUUCCCUUGUUUCCUGUUCCCUAGGAAUGGGUACUGGAAUUCAAAGCAUCAUCCUCAUCUGGCUGCAAUUCUCUCCUAGCAUGGAUAGACUCAUCACUCUGAAACCUAUCAAAUCCUUCAUCCUCUGAAAUAUCAGAAAAAUCCUGCUGAGCCACAACAGCCCCUCUGAACAAAUUCCACCUAGAAAACUCUAGUGGUUUUAAAAUUUUAUCUUGGAUGGAGAAAGAUACUGAGUGCCAUUUUCCACACAGACUUCUCAAAACUUCUGUGCAAACUUCCCCAGUGUCCCUGGCAAAUGCUCAGCUGUCAGAGAGAGAUCCAUCAAUAUUUCCCCACAUCAUCACUUCUCCAAAGUAAGGCAAGGCAGGAAAUGGAAAAGUACAUGAACCGGGCGGCCUAUAUAGAUUACUUCUUCAGAGCUUAUGCAAGAGUCUGCCACUUCUUCAUCCAAGACUGAAGACACAAAUGAUUUGUAUUUUCCUCCCAAAGCUUGGAAAUUUCUGUGCUGGGUACCAUAAGGAUUAUAUAUUAUAACUCUCAUCAUCCCGAUAAUAUUUAUUAUAGUUCUGUGUGCACAUAAAGCAGAAACUUUAUUUACACUCCACAGAUGUAGAAACUUGGUAUGACUGCAACUGUCCUGAUUUCUCCCCCUGGAAUCCUUUGAUCUUAGGGAGAUACAUAUAACUUUCUGCUAGAGAGAUCUAGUGCUUUAGUUCAGGGGUGUGCCUCUCAGAAUGCUCUGGCUAACACAUUGGUGAAAUAAAAUUUUAUUUAUAGAUUU